rnacentral:lncRNA from 1 species
UUUUGAUCAAGAAAUGCUGAAUGUCCAUAAUUUGAAUUACUCCAGCUCAAGGACCUUACUUUUCCAGAGAUUUUCCGUCAUCUUUAUGGAUGUACUCUUUGUGUAUGCUGUCCGUGAGUGCUGUAAAUGCAUUGAUGGAAAAAAAGUGGGUAAAGAACUUACAGAAAAGCCAAAAUUUAUUCUGUCGGUAUUACUUCUGUGGAACUUCGGGUUAUUAAUUGUGGACCAUAUUCAUUUUCAGUACAAUGGCUUUUUAUUUGGAUUAAUGCUACUCUCCAUUGCACGAUUAUUUCAGAAAAGGCAUAUGGAAGGAGCAUUUCUCUUUGCUGUUCUCCUACAUUUCAAGCAUAUCUACCUCUAUGUAGCACCAGCUUAUGGUGUAUAUCUGCUGCGAUCCUACUGUUUCACUGCAAAUAAACCAGAUGGGUCUAUUCGAUGGAAGAGUUUCAGCUUUGUUCGUGUUAUUUCCCUGGGACUGGUUGUUUUCUUAGUUUCUGCUCUUUCAUUGGGUCCUUUCCUGGCCUUGAAUCAGCUGCCUCAAGUCUUUUCCCGACUCUUUCCUUUCAAGAGGGGCCUCUGUCAUGCAUAUUGGGCUCCAAACUUCUGGGCUUUGUACAAUGCUUUGGACAAAGUGCUGUCUGUCAUCGGUUUGAAAUUGAAAUUUCUUGAUCCCAACAAUAUUCCCAAGGCCUCAAUGACAAGUGGUUUGGUUCAGCAGUUCCAACACACAGUCCUUCCCUCAGUGACUCCCUUGGCAACCCUCAUCUGCACACUGAUUGCCAUAUUGCCCUCUAUUUUCUGUCUUUGGUUUAAACCCCAAGGGCCCAGAGGCUUUCUCCGAUGUCUAACUCUUUGUGCCUUGAGCUCCUUUAUGUUUGGGUGGCAUGUUCAUGAAAAAGCCAUACUUCUAGCAAUUCUCCCAAUGAGCCUUUUGUCUGUGGGAAAAGCAGGAGACGCUUCGAUUUUUCUGAUUCUGACCACAACAGGACAUUAUUCCCUCUUUCCUCUGCUCUUCACUGCACCAGAACUUCCCAUUAAAAUCUUACUCAUGUUACUAUUCACCAUAUAUAGUAUUUCGUCACUGAAGACUUUAUUCAGAAAAGAAAAACCUCUUUUUAAUUGGAUGGAAACUUUCUACCUGCUUGGCCUGGGGCCUCUGGAAGUCUGCUGUGAAUUUGUAUUCCCUUUCACCUCCUGGAAGGUGAAGUACCCCUUCAUCCCUUUGUUACUAACCUCAGUGUAUUGUGCAGUAGGCAUCACAUAUGCUUGGUUCAAACUGUAUGUUUCAGUAUUGAUUGACUCUGCUAUUGGCAAGACAAAGAAACAAUGAAUAAAGGAACUGCUUAG